GGCAGCUAGACUGGUGACUGGGAGCGGCCACCGAGACCAUAUAACACUGGUCUUGAAAGACCUACACUGGCUCCCAGUACGUUUCCAAGCACAAUUCAAAGUGUUGGUGCUGACCUUUAAGGCCCUGAACAGCCUUGGUCCAGUAUACCUGAAGGAGCAUCUCCACCCCCAUUGUUCUGCCCACACACUGAGGUCCAGUGCCAAGGGCCUUCUGGCGGUUCAUGAGUACAUAGGAAACUUAUUAAAUACUUAACUAUACUGCUGGGCCAGAAAGUUCAGUUUAUGUCUUGUUGUGAUUCCUUUCUUAAAGGUGAAUCUCAUGUGAUAGAAGCUGAGGCUGACUCUACAGUUGGACGUCAGUUUAUCCUCAAGGCAGACGAAGGACUCGGAUGGCUCCUGGAUUCCGAUAAGGCUGUGACAACAACUGAUGAUGCACCACACACCAAAUCUGAAAACGUUGUUGUGGCCAAGCUAACCUCUGCUACAGAUGAAAGCUUGCGUGAACUGGCACCCUCUGUGGAGAUAACAAAGUUGUCCCUGCAAGGUAAUGGACAUAAUGAAUGCAUGGCACCGUUUACUAAAGGGGUUGGGUAGCGAACCAUGGGAGAUGGAGCUCUUGGUUUUAAUACUUCUUAAACUCCUUUUAGGCACUGCAUCACAGAAGGGGACUGUCCUGGAACGAAUCCAAACCACAGCAGCUGCUGUCGUGGUGCUUGUCCUGUUGAGCUGCAUCUUCUAGAUACGUGGAUAAAUCCAUUUGCUUGUAUAUUGAAAACGGAGGUUUUUUUCUUGCAGCCUGAAACUGUAGAGCUGGCAACAAUUGUGUUUAUGUAAUGUCUGCUGCACAAGCAAAGCUUGUGGCCAGGUGGUUCAUCCUCUGCAAGGGCUUAAGCAAAAUGGACUACUGAAAUGAAAAAUAAACUGCAUGUGGUAUUCACUGUUGUUUUCAAUUGGCAAUGCAUAACAAUAUGCAAUUGAUGUUGUUUUCCCCCCAUUUACAUUGAGG
rnacentral:lncRNA from 1 species